rnacentral:rRNA from 1 species
CCUACGGGAGGCAGCAGUGGGGAAUCUUGCGCAAUGGGCGAAAGCCUGACGCAGCAACGCCGCGUGCGGGAAGAAGGCCUUCGGGUUGUAAACCGCUUUCAGCAGGAACGAAAAUGACGGUACCUGCAGAAGAAGGUGCGGCCAACUAUGUGCCAGCAGCCGCGGUGAUACAUAGGCACCAAGCGUUGUCCGGAUUUAUUGGGCGUAAAGAGCUCGUAGGCGGUUCAGUCAGUCGGGUGUGAAAACUCUGGGCUUAACCCAGAGCCUGCACCCGAUACUGCUGUGACUAGAGUUCGGUAGGGGAGCGGGGAAUUCCUGGUGUAGCGGUGAAAUGCGCAGAUAUCAGGAGGAACACCGAUGGCGAAGGCACCGCUCUGGGCCGAAACUGACGCUGAGGAGCGAAAGCAUGGGUAGCAAACAGGAUUAGAUACCCUGGUAGUCCAUGCGUAACGUAGGUCGACUAGUGUGGUCGUACUACACGAACGUCGCGCCGUCGCUACGCAUAGUCGCCCGCCGUCGGGAGGUACGGUCGCGACGACUAAACCUACAAUAGAAGUUAGACGAGCGUGAGACGUCGCCGACGGACGACGACGAGGGAGGAGG